rnacentral:rRNA from 1 species
UACGAAGGGGGCGAGCGUUGUUCGGAUUUACUGGGCGUAAAGGGCGCGCAGGCGGUCUUGAAAGUCAGGCGUGAAAGCCCCGGGCUUAACCUGGGAAUUGCGCUUGAUACUCUGAGACUGGAGUACGGGAGAGGAGAGUGGAAUUCCCAGUGUAGAGGUGAAAUUCGUAGAUAUUCGCAAGAACACCAGUGGCGAAGGCGGCUCACUGGCCCGGAACUGACGCUGAGGCACGAAAGCGUGGGGAGCAAACAGG